GCCAGACUCCUACGGGAGGCAGCAGUGGGGAAUAUUGCACAAUGGGGGAAACCCUGAUGCAGCGACGCCGCGUGGGUGAAGAAGUAUUUCGGUAUGUAAAGCUCUAUCAGCAGGGAAGAAAAUGACGGUACCUGACUAAGAAGCCCCGGCUAACUACGUGCCAGCAGCCGCGGUAAUACGUAGGGGGCAAGCGUUAUCCGGAUUUACUGGGUGUAAAGGGAGCGUAGACGGUGAUGCAAGUCAGAAGUGAAAGCCCGGGGCUCAACUCCGGGACUGCUUUUGAAACUGUGUGACUGGAGUGCAGGAGAGGUAAGCGGAAUUCCUGGUGUAGCGGUGAAAUGCGUAGAUAUCAGGAGGAACACCAGUGGCGAAGGCGGCUUACUGGACUGUAACUGACGUUGAGGCUCGAAAGCGUGGGGAGCAAACAGGAUUAGAUACCCGUGUAU
rnacentral:rRNA from 1 species